rnacentral:lncRNA from 1 species
AAUGUUUGUGUUUGUUGUUGGUUUUGGAUUGUGUUGUGGUUGUUCUAGUACCUCAGAACCCAUUUUCUAUGAUGUUGAAAGAGGAUUAGAGGGAGAAUGAUGAAGAUUAGAUGAAAUAAAAAUAGUGUAAGAUGAAAGAUAUGAAAUGAGAUUAUGAUAAUGGGGGUAUUUAAUGUGGUGGAUUUUGAUUGAUUGGGUCUAAAAAUGGUAAAAUGGUGAUUAUAGAUAGAAUGGAAAUUGGGAUAUUGACAAAGGUGUGAGGGAGUGUACGAGGAAGGAGUCGGAACACAGAGAGACGGACGUGGUCUUUAAGCUGCUGAAGCUGAUGCUACUUGUUUAUUUUUUUUAAAGUAAAUAUCUCCGCACACAACUGCAGAUAUUAUUCUUCUUAAAGUAACUGAGAUUCAUUUAAGGGGUUGAUCUCUUCUAACAAAUAUUUCUUUAUACGCACCGACCAGGAAUUGAACCCAGAACCAAAUGGUUAAGAGACCAAAGUAUCUACCACUUAUGUCACACUAUGUUAGUUACUACUCGUUUAUUUUAUUUGAAAAAAAUGGUUUUAGACAUUUUUUAAAUUACAAGAGGAAUAAAUAAAUUGGCUCUUAAUCACGUGAGAUGUGAGAUAGAGGAGGAAUAAUCUAUUUUAUCAUUUUAUGAUUCAAGAUUUUUUUUAGUUGGUAGACAAGGUAACAAAUACAAUUUUAAAUUUAAACUAAUCACGUCUCAGAAUAAAAUUCAGAUAAAGACAUUUAAUUUAUAAAAUUAAUAUGAAUAAUAUUAGAAACACAUUUUUUAACACACACAUUUCUACCCAUUCUAUUUUAUUGUUUGAAUUUUAUAUUGAUCUCAUAAAAAAAAGUAGGUCCCAUAUAAGUUUUAUAGGUGCUAUAUGAGUUUUUUUUGUACAAGGAGCUAUAUGAGUUUUAAUCAAUAAAAGAUUGUUGUUAAGAUUUGUGUUAUAGAAAGUGUGUUGCUAGUAAUCCUCUAUUAAUAUUGAAUUAUGACUAAGAUUUGAUCUGUUAUACACUAUUUUGUUCGGUAUUUAAAUUUUGCAGAUUAAACGGAUGUUUAGAUACUCAUUAAAGAUUUAAUAUCAUGGACUACUCAGAAUAAAAUAUUAAAGAUUUAAUUUGUGUAUGUCAUAUUUAAUAUAAAUUUAUACCCACUUUUGUCAAAAAUAAAUAAUUUAUUUCCACUGUGAAUUAUGGUCAAAUGAUUUAAUGUUUUUGUUAAAACUAAAUAAUUUAUUUCCACUGUGAAUUAUGGUCAAAUGAUUUAUAAUGUUUGACUUAUUUUGGCUGCCUUAUAAAGUUUGAAUUUAAUUUAAUAUUUUUAAAGAUCUCUUAUGAAAAAUUGAAGGCUUCGUUUUUCUAAAAGCAAUUUGUAUAUAUCGUUAAUGUAAAUAUAUUUUAUACAUCUGUUUAAUCAUAUAUUUUAACAUAUAAAUAUUUUCUCAUAUAAUAAUAUGUGGCAUGAUUGCUCAAUAUUAUGAGAUGUAUGUGUAAAAUAGUAAUUAUUUUAGAAUUAAAGAAGGCCUAAGUUGCAUUAUGAGCAUCAAGAUUGGUUCAAGAUAAUUAGAAGCCUAAAGCAGCUAUUUUUUCCGGGUAAUUUUAAAAAAUUUGAAUGCAUUCUGAGUAAUUAAGUGGGUGAAGAGGAAUUCUCAAAAACAAUUACGAUAAAUAUAAAGCUAAAUAUUGCUAAAGCCACGAUUCAACUUUAGUCAUAAGAAUUUGAGCCUUCAAUUUUACCAACUAAACAAAAUACUCCUCAAAAUUUAGAUGCAUAUUUUAUAUUUAUAAUUAAAUGAAACUUUAUUUAAUCCUUUAUAAUUAAAGCUCUUCCUUAAGUUACUUGGCUCUUGGGCCAGCCCUAAUGCGCACUCUUGAGUAUUCAUGCAUAACAUAUGAAAAUAUAGAACUUCCAAGUUCUGGAAUAAUGUUUCGGAAACUAAGACGCAAGUAAUCAAUCAAGUUGGGCAGCUACAAAUUCUUUUUUUUUGGUUUUCACCCUCUAGUUCCUAGGAAAAGGGACCCUAGUAGUCCAGAGUUCGGGGCGAGUUCUUGCAUCAAGUGAUUUCAGUCUCCUCCCAAAUGCAAUUGCGGUGGAUCGAACCGCGGUCCUCCCUAUCAGGUUCAGCGCCAAUCAUCACUGAACCAACUAACAUUUGGUGGGCACUACAAAUUCUACUCAUUGAGUGUAUGUUACUGUAUUUAUUUUAUAAAUAGUUGUUUCGAGAUAUUAGCAAUGUCGAGAUUUCAUUUCAAAUUUCUUUGUGGUGUUUAUAUCAUUCUAUUCCAUUAUCUCUUUUAAAACCUCAAUUUCCUCUUAUAAAAUUUAUUAUUUUGCUUCGUUCUUCCUUAUAGUAACUCUGAUCUGAGUGAAAGCAACGCUUAAAUGAUCGUGUAAACAUUAACCAAUUAAUUAACCACCAAUUUAUUUUUUGAUUUGGGUUAUUUUUAUUUUACCCAAUUUUAAAAUUGACAAUUUAGAGUGUAUUUUCAUACUUUAUUUUUACCUUUAAUCAUAAAUUUUCGAGUUUAACCUAUUGGAGGACAAGGAAUCAAAGGAACAAAACAUUUCGCUUGUGAACGUGGAUUAGAUAUGAAAAUGUCAAAAUAAGGUACGAGGUAAGAGUGAGUUCAAAUUCAUGACUCUAAAACAAGUGUCAUGAAUGAGAAAGUCAUGUUUCUCGCAAUUCAUUUGGGCUCGCUGCAUACAUUUGUAGCCCUUUGAGCCAAGAAGGACAAUAAAUUAGUAACGGUUCCUUGUAAGUGCAUUACUAUUAAAUUGAAAAUUGGGAUUUAGGAAGACUAGUAAUUGCAUUAUUGUUGUUUAACAAGAUGGAUGAUCAAUGGCUAAACGAUUGUCUUGUAACUUUUAGAGAAAGAGAUGUUUUUUGAACAGUCAGUAAUGAUGUAAUUUUAUAUCAUUUUCAACAAAUGGAUGAUAGAUUAUUUUCUUUGUAAGUUGCUACAACUAUUUUUAGUAUAACAUUUUAGUAAAUUAAUAUAAUUUAGUUCUUGAAUCAAAAAUAUCCGUCUACAAAUUUUAACUCAAAUGACAAAAAUGUCAAAAUUAUUAUGGCUGUCAAACGUUGUGAUCGAAGUUCGAACCCCAACUCUUUGUAAUUUUUUAAUGACUAUAGUUAUUUCCACUAUAUACAAAAUAAAAAUAAAACAAAUGAUAUAUCCAAUGUGUGAUCCCACGAGAAAAGGGACAUAACAAAUGUAUACCGGAUUCACCAACUAGUUAUGCUGGCCAGAGACAGCACCUAACGAAACACUUUUAUGGUUUUAGAGUGACGAAAACACCCUUUGAGAUUAGGGAUGGCAAUGGGCGCCCACGGGUGCGGGUUUGAGUGAUACCAAAACCCACACCCGAAAUCAACACCCAAACCCAAACCCAAACCCAAAUCUGUUCGGGUGGCAAAACCACACCCACGCCCACACCCAUUGGGUUCGGGUUUUUUACACCCAAACCCAAACCCACAACACAUUUUAUACUACUUUGCAAAUUUAAGCAAAACAAGGUAAAUUUAAGCAAAAACAAUGGAAUUUAAACAUAUUGUCAAUCACUUAGCAAAAACAUAGGUUUAAAAUUACAAGGGAAUUUAAAAUUACAAAAUAGUC